rnacentral:rRNA from 1 species
AAAUGAAUAGACGGGGGCCCGCACAAGCGGAGGAACAUGUGGUUUAAUUCGAUGAUACGCGAGGAACCUUACCUGGGCUUAAAUGCAGGAUGCAUGCUGUGGAAACACACUUCCCUUCGGGGCUUCCUGCAAGGUGCUGCAUGGUUGUCGUCAGCUCGUGCCGUGAGGUGUCGGGUUAAGUCCCAUAACGAGCGCAACCCUUACCGUUAGUUGCCAUCAGGUAAUGCUGGGGACUCUAUCGGGACUGCCACCGUAAGGUGAGAGGAAGGUGGGGAUGACGUCAAAUCAGCACGGCCCUUAUGUCCAGGGCUACACACGUGUUACAAUGGCCGGUACAGAGGGAAGCUACCCCGCGAGGGGAUGCCAAUCUUCAAAGCCGGUCUCAGUUCGGAUUGGAGUCUGCAACCCGACUCCAUGAAGUUGGAUUCGCUAGUAAUCGCGCAUCAGCCACGGCGCGGUGAAUACGUUCCCGGGCCUUGUACACACCGCCCGU